rnacentral:rRNA from 1 species
GUGAGGAAUAUUGCGCAAUGGAGGCAACUCUGACGCAGCCAUGCCGCGUGCAGGAAGAAGGCGCUACGCGUUGUAAACUGCUUUUAACCGGGAAGAAACCCCAGGACGUGUCCUGGGUUGACGGUACCGGAGGAAUAAGCACCGGCUAACUUCCUGCCAGCAGCCGCGGUAAUACGAAGGGUGCAAGCGUUAUCCUGAUGCAUUCGGUUUAAAGGGUGCGUAGGCGGAGCGUUAAGUCAGUGGUGAAAUCCUGCAGCUUCACUGUAGACUUGCCAUUGAUACUGGCGCUCUUGAUUGCGCUUGAAGUGGGCGGAAUGUGCCGUGUAGCGGUGAAAUGCUUAGAUAUGGCACAGAACACCAAUUGCGAAGGCAGCUCACUAAGGCGAUACUGACGCUGAGGCACGAAAGCGUGGGGAUCGAACAGGAUUAGAAACCCUGGUAGUCC